rnacentral:rRNA from 1 species
CAGUCGCCACGGGAAUACGUAGGUGGCAAGCGUUGUCCGGAAUUAUUGGGCGUAAAGGGCUCGCAGGCGGUUUCUUAAGUCUGAUGUGAAAGCCCCCGGCUCAACCGGGGAGGGUCAUUGGAAACUGGGAAACUUGAGUGCAGAAGAGGAGAGUGGAAUUCCACGUGUAGCGGUGGAAUGCGUAGAGAUGUGGAGGAACACCAGUGGCGAAGGCGACUCUCUGGUCUGUAACUGACGCUGAGGAGCGAAAGCGUGGGGAGCGAACAGGAUUAGAUACCCCAGUAGUCCCUGUCUCUUAUAC